rnacentral:lncRNA from 1 species
AUGCCGGGCAUUGGUUGCCAUGCCCUGCCCUUCCUGGAUGCCACGGAGCAGGCGGGCAGCCACCUCCUUUUGCCUGGACCACCAAAGGCCAUUGACCGACCCCUUCUGACAAGGCCACAGAUGCACAGGGAGCUGCAGCACUUUUCAGCUGGGAUUCAACUGUUCAGAGUGGAAGCUGCCGUUGAUGGUAUUGCACCAGGGCAGAGAAGCAGCGGCUCCCGUGUGCAUGCUUCAGGCCGCAAACAAUGGGGCCCAGAGGACAGCCACGAAUUUACUGGGUGGCUGGUUCUCUCGGGCUUAGCAUGCACAAGGAAACACAGCCAGGCUUCUGUGCACCCCCGCCUCUGUGCAAUCUAAGUCAUUCACACGGGGUGGCUGGUCGGCCAGCGCAAAGGGGGUGCCACCCCCCCUGCCUCGGGCUCUGCCCGGUUGGCCCACUCCGGCCUGCUUCUUUACAGAAGUCGGGUGUGGGGGGGGCUUGCCUGCCUUUGCCCCCCCCCUCUUGUCAAACCCUCCACUUCACCCUAUAUGUGAGGGUGGGUGUUUUGCAUGUGGGGUGAGGAAAGAUAAUAAGAGAACGUGGACGAUUAAGGCAUAUGCUCUGUUUCUGAAACCAGGCACAGUGGAGAGCAGCGCUACUAAUCUCAGCUUUGCAUCUAGCCCUCUCUCUCUCUCUCUCUCUCUGUUUUUCUGAAGGGACUUGUGCAGGAGAUGCUCCCACACGAGGAACACUGGUGAGGGCAGUGAGGGCAUCACAAGCUCCAGAAAACACCUUUGUAGGUGGUGCAAGCUCUGAAUCUGAUCCUCCUGCAUAAACCUGUUUCUCUCCAGACCAAACCAACCCUCUGCCUUGUCUCUGAAGACUGAAGCUGGGGAGGGGGAAUAACAGACCCCCCCCACUCCAUCUUACAGCUCAGCUGCCUUUGUUUUCCUUCCUCAGGAAGAGCGAGAGGUGCAUCCAGUCUCCAGAAGUAGGUUGCCUGCAGAGUUGUAAACAGACAAACAAACAAAUAAAAUAGUAAUGUUAUUCGAAGUACUGUGCA